rnacentral:tRNA from 1 species
GGUAUAGCUCAGUGCUAGAGUGUGUGUCUAACAUGCACAAAGCCCAAGGUUCAAUCCCCAGUACC